CUUGCUUCUGCAUCUCUUGAGAAGAAACCUUUGCUGAUUCAACAGUAUCAUUUUCUUCUUCAUCCUCUCCGCAUGAAAACUCAGGGCCAACAAUCACAAGAUUUGGAAGGAUAUGCGAAGGAUUUGAAGAAACAGGCAGGUCAUCAGAAGGGUCGGACAACUUAUCGCAAGGGAGAUCUUUCUUCUCCAGUUCUGAUGCCCCACAAGGCCCCAACAAUCACAAGAUUUGGAAGAAUAUGCGAAGGAUUUGAAGAAACAGGCAGGUCAUCAGAAGGGUCGGACAACUUAUCGCAAGGGAGAUCCUUCUUCUCCAGUUCUGAUGCCCCACAAGGCCGAUAUUCACUUCCCCCAUUAUACGAAGAGCUAGAAUUGGAAUCACUGCAGGUAAAUGAAGGAGCUGUU
rnacentral:lncRNA from 1 species